rnacentral:snRNA from 1 species
GUGCUUGCUUCGGCAGCACAUAUACUAAAAUUGGAACGAUACAGAGAAGAUUAGCAUGGCCCCUGCACAAGGAUGACACGCAAAUUUGUGAAAUGUUCCAUAUUUUU